GCAGGCUGNAACCCGCCUGCGUGAAGUCGGAAUCGCUAGUAAUCGCGGAUCAGCAUGCCGCGGUGAAUACGUUCCCGGGCCUUGUACACACCGCCCGUCACACCAUGAGAGUCGGGAACACCCGAAGUCCGUAGCCUAACCGCAAGGAGGGCGCGGCCGAAGGUGGGUUCGAUAAUUGGGGUGAAGUCGUAACAAGGUACC
rnacentral:rRNA from 1 species